rnacentral:rRNA from 1 species
AACAGAACCUGAAACCGUGUACGUACAAGCAGUGGGAGCCCCACCACCAAAACACUUCCGGGCCGAGAGGCGAUGCGGAUGUCGAGGUGACGGUUGUCAUCGCGUUUUUUGCGAUGAGCAACACACAAAACAAGCCGUGAGUGUUUUGGGGUGGGGUGACUGCGUACCUUUUGUAUAAUGGGUCAGCGACUUAUAUUCUGUAGCAAGGUUAACCGAAUAGGGGAGCCGUAGGGAAACCGAGUCUUAACUGGGCGUCAAGUUGCAGGGUAUAGACCCGAAACCCGGUGAUCUAGCCAUGGGCAGGUUGAAGGUUGGGUAACACUAACUGGAGGACCGAACCGACUAAUGUUGAAAAAUUAGCGGAUGACUUGUGGCUGGGGGUGAAAGGCCAAUCAAACCGGGAGAUAGCUGGUUCUCCCCGAAAGCUAUUUAGGUAGCGCCUCGUGAACUCAUCUGCGGGGGUAGAGCACUGUUUCGACUAGGGGGUCAUCCCGACUUACCAACUCGAUGCAAACUGCGAAUACCGUAGAAUGUAAUCACGGGAGACACACGGCGGGUGCUAACGUCCGUCGUGAAGAGGGAAACAACCCAGACCGCCAGCUAAGGUCCCAAAGUCAUGGUUAAGUGGGAAACGAUGUGGGAAGGCCCAGACAGCCAGGAUGUUGGCUUAGAAGCAGCCAUCAUUUAAAGAAAGCGUAAUAGCUCACUGGUCGAGUCGGCCUGCGCGGAAGAUGUAACGGGGCUAAACCAUGCACCGAAGCUGCGGCAGCGAACGUAUCACUUAAAACGCUUAACGUGACGGCGAAGCUGGCACGUUCAAGCCACAAAAACGUUGAGUUGGCCUGAGCGCUGACAGACGGCAAGGCGUUUUAAGGAUACGUUCGUUGGGUAGGGGAGCGUUCUGUAAGCCGUAGAAGGUGGCCUGUGAGGGCUGCUGGAGGUAUCAGAAGUGCGAAUGCUGACAUAAGUAACGAUAAUGCGGGUGAAAAACCCGCACGCCGGAAGACCAAGGGUUCCUGUCCAACGUUAAUCGGGGCAGGGUGAGUCGACCCCUAAGGCGAGGCCGAAAGGCGUAGUCGAUGGGAAACGGGUUAAUAUUCCCGUACUGGUUGUUACUGCGAAGGGGGGACGGAGAAAGCUAGGUUGGCCGGGCGACGGUAGUCCCGGUUUAAGCGUGAAGGUGGGUGUUUUUGGAAAAUCCGGAACACCGUUAACACUGAGGCGUGAC